rnacentral:rRNA from 1 species
UACAGAGGUCCCAAGCGUUGUUCGGAUUCACUGGGCGUAAAGGGUGCGUAGGUGGUGAGGUAAGUCGGAUGUGAAAGCUCGGAGCUCAACUCCGAAAUGGCAUUGGAAACUACCUUGCUCGAGGGUUGGAGGGGGGACUGGAAUGCUUGGUGUAGCAGUGAAAUGCGUAGAUAUCAAGCGGAACACCAGUGGCGAAGGCGAGUCUCUGGACAUUUCCUGACGCUGAGGCACGAAAGCCAGGGGAGCAAACGGG